rnacentral:rRNA from 1 species
AACGUACGCUGGCGGCACGCUUAACACAUGCAAGUCGAACGAAGUAGCAAUACUUAGUGGCAGACGGGUGAGUAACAUGUGGGUAUCUGCCCUUUGGCCUGGAAUAACACGAGGAAACUUGUGCUAAUACCGGAUAAGUCUUUACGGAGAAAGCUUUAUGCACCAUUGGAUGAGCCCGCACUUGAUUAGUUUGUUGGUGGGGUAAUGGCCUACCAAGACUGUGAUCAAUAGCUGAUUUGAGAGGAUGAUCAGCCACAUUGGGACUGAGACACGGCCCAAACUCCUACGGGAGGCAGCAGUGGGGAAUCUUGCACAAUGGAGGAAACUCUGAUGCAGCGAUGCCGCGUGAGUGAAGAAGGCCCUUGGGUUGUAAAGCUCUUUCGUCGGGGAAGAAAAUGACUGUACCCGAAUAAGAAGGUCCGGCUAACUUCGUGCCAGCAGCCGCGGUAAUACGAAGGGACCUAGCGUAGUUCGGAAUUACUGGGCUUAAAGAGUUCGUAGGUGGUUGAAAAAGUUAGUGGUGAAAUCCCAGAGCUUAACUCUGGAACUGCCAUUAAAACUUUUCAGCUAGAGUAUGAUAGAGGAAAGCAGAAUUUCUAGUGUAGAGGUGAAAUUCGUAGAUAUUAGAAAGAAUACCAAUUGCGAAGGCAGCUUUCUGGAUCAUUACUGACACUGAGGAACGAAAGCAUGGGUAGCGAAGAGGAUUAGAUACCCUCGUAGUCCAUGCCGUAAACGAUGUGUGUUAGACGUUGGAAAUUUAUUUUCAGUGUCGCAGCGAAAGCGAUAAACACACCGCCUGGGGAGUACGACCGCAAGGUUAAAACUCAAAUGAAUUGACGGGGACCCGCACAAGUAGUGGAGCAUGUGGUUUAAUUCGAAGAUACGCGCAGAACCUUACCAACACUUGACAUGUUCGUCGCGACUCUAAGAGAUUAGAGUUUUCGGUUCGGCCGGACGAAACAUAGGUGCUGCAUGGCUGUCGUCAGCUCGUGUCGUGAGAUGUUGGGUUAAGUCCCGCAACGAGCGCAACCCUCACUUUUAGUUGCCAUCAUUAAGUUGGGCACUCUGAAAGAACUGCCAGUGAUAAGCUGGAGGAAGGUGGGGAUGACGUCAAGUCCUCAUGGCCCUUACGUGUUGGGCUACACACGUGCUACAAUGGUAUCUACAACAGGAAGCAAGACUGCGAGGUCAAGCAAAUCCUUAAAAGAUACCUCAGUUCGGAUUGCACUCUGCAACUCGAGUGCAUGAAGCUGGAAUUACUAGUAAUCGUGGAUCAGCGUGCCACGGUGAAUGCGUUCCCGGGUCU